CCAAAUUCUAAUCACUGUUUAAACCAUGUUUAUCCCAAAACCACCUCCCUAAUAACCCCUUAAUUUCUCUCUCACACACACUUUCCCACAUCUCUCAUACACUUCCUGCUUUUCUCUCUCUCUCUCGUCCUUUUUCCUCAUUCUCUUCUUCACAAAACAUCACUCUUUUUUCAUUUCACCGACAACACAACAACGUGAGUUAAACAAAAAACAGUAACUCCACGCAGCCAUGACAGA
rnacentral:misc_RNA from 1 species